CCUACGGUGGCAGCAGUGGGGAAUAUUGCACAAUGGGCGCAAGCCUGAUGCAGCCAUGCCGCGUGUGUGAAGAAGGCCUUCGGGUUGUAAAGCACUUUCAGCGGGAAGGAAGGCGGUGAGGUUAAUAACCUCAUCGAUUGACGUUACCCGCAGAAGAAGCACCGGCUAACUCCGUGCCAGCAGCCGCGGUAAUACGGAGGGUGCAAGCGUUAAUCGGAAUUACUGGGCGUAAAGCGCACGCAGGCGGUCUGUCAAGUCGGAUGUGAAAUCCCCGGGCUCAACCUGGGAACUGCAUUCGAAACUGGCAGGCUAGAGUCUUGUAGAGGGGGGUAGAAUUCCAGGUGUAGCGGUGAAAUGCGUAGAGAUCUGGAGGAAUACCGGUGGCGAAGGCGGCCCCCUGGACAAAGACUGACGCUCAGGUGCGAAAGCGUGGGGAGCAAACAGGAUUAGAUACCCGGGUAGUC
rnacentral:rRNA from 1 species